rnacentral:rRNA from 1 species
UACGUAGGGUGCGAGCGUUAAUCGGAAUUACUGGGCGUAAAGCGUGCGCAGGCGGUUUUGUAAGCCAGAUGUGAAAUCCCCGGGCUUAACCUGGGAAUGGCAUUUGGGACUGCAAGGCUGGAGUGCGGCAGAGGAGACUGGAAUUCCUGGUGUAGCAGUGAAAUGCGUAGAUAUCAGGAGGAAUACCGAUGGCGAAGGCAGGUCUCUGGGCUGACACUGACGCUCAUGCACGAAAGCGUGGGGAGC